AUAUCUCAUUGCAGUUCUGAUGCUCAUCUCCCUGAAGAUCAGUGAUGUCCAGCAUCUUGUUGACCAUAGUGUUGCAGAGAACUGAGGAAGUAGCUAACUUCAAUCAGAGAAAAGGGAAGACUUUUCACAAAGGAGGGAUCAGCACACAACUAUGAUUUGGGCCAGUGGUGGACACAAAAAAGGACUGAGGGAAUGGCAUGGCACUUGGCACAAACCCCGUUACUGACCAUAUUCCUGCCUGGUACCACACUCUCUGCCAAGGGCCCUGUUCCAGGAAAACAUCUGCUCCCCGAACAUAAAGGACUGUGUGAGGUAAAACCUCAAGAAGCACAAACAAUCUUAAACCCAGGGGAAAACCAAGAACUUGGACAUGAUCCUUCAAAGUUAUCCCCAUCCGAAAGAAGCCGUCAACUCUCUCA